rnacentral:rRNA from 1 species
AUUGAACGCUGGCGGCAGGCUUAACACAUGCAAGUCGAGCGGGGGAAGGUAGCUUGCUACCGGACCUAGCGGCGGACGGGUGAGUAAUGCUUAGGAAUCUGCCUAUUAGUGGGGGACAACAUCUCGAAAGGGAUGCUAAUACCGCAUACGUCCUACGGGAGAAAGCAGGGGAUCUUCGGACCUUGCGCGAAUAGAUGAGCCUAAGUCGGAUUAGCUAGUUGGCGGGGUAAAGGCCUACCAAGGCGACGAUCUGUAGCGGGUCUGAGAGGAUGGUCCGCCACACUGGGACUGAGACACGGCCCAGACUGCUACGGGAGGCAGCAGUGGGGAAUAUUGGACAAUGGGGGGAACCCUGAUCCAGCCAUGCCGCGUGUGUGAAGAAGGCCUUAUGGUUGUAAAGCACUUUAAGCGAGGAGGAGGCUACUUUAGUUAAUAACUAGAGAUAGUGGACGUUACUCGCAGAAUAAGCACCGGCUAACUCUGUGCCAGCAGCCGCCGUAA